rnacentral:rRNA from 1 species
GGAGUCUAGCAUGUGCGCGAGUCAUUGGGACCUUUCGAAACCUAAAGGCGAAAUGAAAGUGAAGGCGCGUCUCGCACGCGCAAAGGGAGGAUGGGCCGCGUCACGUCACGGCCUCGCACUCCCGGGGCGUUUCGUUCUCACUGCGAGAAGAGGCGCACCAAGAGCGUACACGCUGGGACCCGAAAGAUGGUGAACUAUGCCUGGUCAGGACGAAGUCAGGGGAAACCCUGAUGGAGGUCCGUAGCGAUUCUGACGUGCAAAUCGAUCGUCGGAACUGGGUAUAGGGGCGAAAGACUAAUCGAACCAUCUAGUAGCUGGUUCCCUCCGAAGUUUCCCUCAGGAUAGCUGGCGCUCGUUGAGCGAGUGUCAUCUGGUAAAGCGAAUGAUUAGAGGCAUUGGGGUCGAAACGGCCUCAACCUAUUCUCAAACUUUAAAUGGGUGAGAACUCCGGCUUUCUUAAACGCUGAAGCCGCGAGUUGGUGGUCGUCGCGCCUUCGCGGUGCGCACGACACACGAGGAUCAGAGUGCCAAGUGGGCCACUUUUGGUAAGCAGAACUGGCGCUGUGGGAUGAACCAAACGCAGAGUUAAAGCGCCUAAAUCGACGCUUAUGGGAUACCAUGAAAGGCGUUGGUAACUUAAGACAGCAGGACGGUGGCCAUGGAA